rnacentral:rRNA from 1 species
AAGAAAGUAAAUAAGGGCGCAUGGCGGAUGCCUUGGCUCUCGGAGGCGAUGAAGGACGUGAUAAGCUGCGAUAAGCUUCGGGUAGGUGCAAAUAACCUUUGAUCCGAAGAUUUCCGAAUGGGACAACCCGGCAUUCUGAAGGAAUGUCAUCCAACCAAGUUGGAGGCUAACGCAGGGAACUGAAACAUCUUAGUACCUGCAGGAAAAGAAAAUAAAUAAUGAUUCCCCUAGUAGUGGCGAGCGAACGGGGAAUAGCCCAAACCACCCAUGUUACGGCAUGUGUGGGGUUGUAGGACCACGCUCUCGCAAGAAAGUUAUUGAGAAGAAGCGGCUGGAAAGCCGCGCCAUAGACGGUGAUAGCCCGGUAUUCCAAGGUAACUGAAGCGUAGUGGUAUCCUGAGUAGCGCGGAGCACGAGGAAUUCUGCGUGAACCAGCCGGGACCAUCCGGUAAGGCUAAAUACUCCCGAGAGACCGAUAGCGAACCAGUACUGUGAAGGAAAGGUGAAAAGCACUUCGAAUAGAAGAGUGAAAUAGUCCCUGAAACCAUGCGCCUACAAGCGGUCGGAGCAGCGUAAGUUGUGACGGCGUGCCUUUUGCAUAAUGAACCUACGAGUUACUUUUUCCGGCAAGGUUAAGCAUCUUGAGAUGUGGAUCCGAAGCGAAAGCGAGUCUGAACAGGGCGGAUAGU